GCUGGCGGCGUGCCUAACACAUGCAAGUCGAACGGGAAAACAGGGGCAACUCUGUGAGUACAGUGGCGUACGGUGAGUAACACGUGACUACCUACCCUCGAGUGGGGGAUAACCCCGGGAAACCGGGGCUAAUACCGCAUAACACCGCAAGAUCAAAGGAGCAAUUCGCUUGAGGAGGGGGUCGCGGCUGAUUAGCUAGUUGGUGAGGUAACGGCCCACCAAGGCGAUGAUCGGUAGCCGGCCUGAGAGGGCGCACGGCCACACUGGAGCUGAAACACGGUCCAGACUCCUACGGGAGGCAGCAGUGGGGAAUUUUGCGCAAUGGGGGAAACCCUGACGCAGCAACGCCGCGUGGAGGAUGAAGUCCCUUGGGACGUAAACUCCUUUCGACCCGGACGAUAAUGACGGUACGGGUGGAAGAAGCACCGGCUAACUUCGUGCCAGCAGCCGCGGUAAUACGAGGGGUGCGAGCGUUGUUCGGAAUUAUUGGGCGUAAAGGGCGCGUANGCGGUGCGGUAAGUCACCUGUGAAAUCUCCCGGCUCAACUGGGAGCUUGCAGGCGAAACUGCCGUGCUGGAGUGUGGGAAAGGUGCGUGGAAUUCCCGGUGUAGCGGUGAAAUGC
rnacentral:rRNA from 1 species